CGAGUCCCUGGGUUGCUUCCUGGGGUCUGUGGUGCUGGGUGUGCUAUCUGCGUGUGAUUCUCUAGCGAGAGAUUGUGGGCGAGUGACCGAGUGGGCAAGGGGCCGUCACUGUGUGUGCGUGAUUUUGACAGUGUGUGGUGGUAGCUUCUGACUCCGCGUGGGUCGUUGAAUGUAUGACUGGGACCGUUUAGCGGUGGAUACACAACUGUGUGCGGCUGUGGAAGAUUGCCUCAUCCGUUACGUUCCCAUUUCCGUGGAACAACAGUUUUACCAGAAGGUUUCGAAGGAACCUUAAAGUUUGGAAGCGUAAGAGUUUAUCUGGCGGCUUUGGUGUCAUCAAAUGUGAGAAGCCCUGGACUUUACACAUCCCGAGCCAGUGUGAUCCAGUAUGAUUGGGAGUCCGAGUGCCAGAUGCCGGUCAGGACCUGUUAUGCUGGGUCUCAGAAUGCGGAAACUCUCCCUGUCCGAGGUGGAACAGUUUGUCCUUGAGUGAGGACUGGAGUCCUGAGUGACUCUUUUGAUUUGAUCCUGUUUCCCUCAAACCUGAGAUGGGAGCCUCACUGUAUUGCCCAGGCUGGUCUUGAACUCCGGAGCUCAAGUGAUCGUCUUGCUUCAGCCUUGCAAAAUGAUGGUGAAGCUGCAUCAUUGUCUGGGGUAAAUACCUGAGGUUCGUUGUCUCACGCCAAGGGAAUCAAGGACGUGGACACACAAGAAAUGGAGUCCCUGUCUGACCGGGCCAUGUUGUAUGUUCCUUGCUGUACACGUGGUUGACAAAGAAAAGGGAAGAUGGAGCUGCGAUGUUGGACAUGCCUGGCCCCCAGGUAGCUUUUUCCUAUUGGCACAGCUGCUGGCAUUCACCCGUGCAAACUUCCAGCUUGCUUAUCUAUGUCUGCAGCUUGAUUUUUCAGGCUGCUGUUUGUUAGAAAAGAAAUGACUUGGGGGCUGCUUUUCAUUAAAAGGAAAACCUUACCGGGGAUUUCCUUACCCUCACUAUCUGCCUAAAUAAUUUCUUUUUAACUCCUAUGUCACUUGGGAUUACAGGCAUGAGCCGCUGUGCCUGCUAGAGGGUUUUUUAUCUUUAUUCCUCAAGAUUUUGCAUUUAGAUAAUUAUGUUAAACUUGGGUGUGCUAGGUAGACAUACGUCUGCUGAUUACCUGUUUAGGAAGAAUGUGGAUUCGUACGUAGGGAAAAGGAGUCAGGCUGGUGGGACCAGGGGAAAGCAAAGAGAUAAAGCAAAUAAGCUAUAGAUCUGCAUUUUCUUCAUGGUCCAGGAUAUAUAAACAAAAAAAGGAAGCAGAUAAGCUAUAGGCUUGCUUUUCUUUAUGACCCAGGACAUACAGCCCUGCCGAGCAAAUAAUGAACGUAACUCACAAACUUCCUGCUUAUCAUCAAACGCACGCAUCCACUUAUCAUCAAACACCUCGGGUGACAGAAGAAUGCAGGUCAGCUCCCUGCUGCCUUGGCAUUAUCAAUCAGCCCAGGAACCAUCCUAUAAAAUCUCCAGCAAGCCUUUGUUUCCUUGCAGUCAGCUCCUCUUCCACUGAUUCUGCCUGUUGCUCCCUGAUAACAUACUUUGAUACUGUCUUUAAUAAAUCUGCCUUUCUUCAC
rnacentral:lncRNA from 10 species